rnacentral:lncRNA from 1 species
UUUUCUUUCUUUACAUCCAUUAAAAAAAGAGAAAGAAAAAUCUCUCUUCUAGUGGCUGUGAAAUAAACCAGAAAAGAAAAUGACCAGAUAUGGUUAUGAAGUUAAUGGGUGGAGAUCCAUUGGCCAAUUUACUUAUAUGGAGUUGGAAGUUGAUGCAGCAAAUCUCUUGUUGGUUGCCAUUUUCUGAUGGCAAAAGGAUGGUGGGGAUAGUUGUUGUAGAUAAUAAGAUAAUGUUGGUGCUGUUAAAUUAAUUAUUGUAUUAUAUUAGUUUCUUG